rnacentral:pre_miRNA from 1 species
UAGUUUUGUCUUAAUUCAUACUUAUCUAACUUUGACCAAGUUUAUAGAAAAUUAUAUUAACAUAUAUAAUAUCAAAUAAAUGGACUAUCAAAAUAUAUUUCAUGGUGUAUCUAAUGAAUCUUGUUUGAUGUUGUAGAUGUUUAUGCAUUUUUAUAAACUUGGUCAAAGUUAGAUAAGUUUGACUUAGGACAAAGUUAA